rnacentral:misc_RNA from 1 species
AAUUGACCGGGUAAGAAAAUCACAAUUGAAUACCUAAUCUACAGAUCUCCAUUUAUAUUAUCCUCUCCAGAUUCCACCUCCAGUGACAAAACAUUAGACUUUAACGCAGAAACUGAUUCUCUAUACAUAUUAUAUUUGAUUUACGGCGGCGCGUGUCGUUCAUUUUCCCAAUGGGUCAGUCAGCUUCCACCUCCAAUUCUUCUAAUCGGGUUUUAACUCCGGCGAUUGUUUCUUCUUCAUCGCAAUCGCCAGAGCUCCCUGACGAAGCAACUGCUGAUGUUGAUUAUACGGAGGAUAUUCCUGACGAGUGUUUGGCGUACAUUUUCCAAUUCCUUUCUACUGGAGACCGGAAAAGCUGCUCCUUGGUUUGCCGCCGGUGGUUACUCGUUGACGGUCGGAACCGCCACCGGCUCUCUCUACACGCGAAAGUGGAGAUUUUUUCGUGUAUUCCUUCUCUAUUCACGCGGUUCGAUUCGGUCACUAAACUCUCCUUGCGUUGUGACCGCAAAUCCAUGAGCUUAAAUGAUGACACUUUUGUCAUGAUCUCCGUCCGUUGUCAGAAACUUGAGCGCCUUAAGAUCCGCGGCUGCCGAGAAAUCACCGACGACGGUAUGGCCGCAUUCGCUGAAAAUUGCAAGAACUUGAGAAAGCUCUCUUUUGGCUCGUGCGCUUUCGGCACCAUGGGCAUAAAUGCGGUGCUGGAUCACUGCAAGGCGCUGGAGGAUCUGUCUAUUAAGCGGCUCCGAGGAAUACACGACGGAGCCAAGACGAUCGCCCCAGGGGCCGCGGCUUCGUCUUUAAAAUCGAUCUGCUUGAAGGAGCUAGUCAACGGUCAGUC